AGCACUAUUUCCUUUGCAAUUUUCCUGGCCAUUGCUCUAGAGGUCAAAAGUUGAUGAUCAAUGUUAGUGAUGCAUCUUCUUCUCCUUCUCCAGCUCCUCAAACAUCUUCUCCAGCUCCUCAACCCUCUACCCCAGCUCCUCAACCCUCUACUCCAGCUCCUCAACCUUCCACUCCAGCUCCUCAACCUUCCACUCCUACUCCAUCUUCUAGUCCAUCACCAGCUUCUACCCCACCACCUACCCCAGCUUCUAGCCCAUCACCACCAUCACCUACCCCAGCUUCUAGCCCAUCACCACCAUCACCCCCAGCUACCACACCACCAACUGCUCCUCCACCAAACUCUGCUACAUCCCUUGGUCUCGCUGGCUUUACCACUUUCUUGUCCAUUUUUGUAGCGUUGUGCUAUUAGAUUAGACGAGGUUGAGAGUUUGAUUAGUGUGAUUCAUUUCUGUG
rnacentral:lncRNA from 1 species